rnacentral:snoRNA from 1 species
UCCCAGUGAAGAAACAAUCAUUUGCAAUCUUAUCUCCUGUCCUAGUCCCAGAGCCUGUAAAGGUGAACCCACUGGGGCUAGCUAGAGGAGAAGAGGAGAGUUGUUCCAGAAGGAACUGUCUGAGGGAU